UAAGCUGCUGCUGCUGCUGCCAGGAGAGCAAAGAAGGCACAGGGCAUCCCAUGUGACAUGGGAAACUUGAGGAGCAGCACAGGACACGGACCAGGUUGUUUCCAACAAAAGGAAUCUUCUAUCCUGAUUUUCCAGACAUGGGAUAGGCUUCCUGUAGAAGUACCUCCAGUGUUUUAAUUGAUGCAUGUUCACCAGGGAGAGCUGAUGCAACAAGAGGACAAUCAAGCCCAUGGUUCAACAGUUUCAGAAAUAAGUAUCUAAAAUUAGGUGCCUAAUUCCAUAAUUAGGAACUUGAGAAGAGGUGGACUGGUUUUUAAAAGUACUACAGGAGUGACAAAUUCUGCUGAAGUAAAUUUGAGCUGGAGAUCAGUUAUGUGUCUAUGUGGUCAAAAGGGAAAAGUCCUUCAUCUGAAGUGAAGCAGGACCUGAAGGAUGUAUCUCAGACAUUCCCAUGGCUCUCAGGGUCCAGGAAUGCACUGACUCAGGAGUGGAAGCUGAACCUGAAAUCUCCCACAUGGUCACAUAGAGCAGCACUGCACACCAGAUGUGGCUUUCUCUUGUCAUAUGCCUAAAACUUUUUUAAUGAUAAGUGGUUUUCAGGCUGGCAAUUAAUUUCCCUUGGCUUGAACUCCUAAGAACUAAAAGGUAAUGGGAAGCUACCUGGCUCAUUAAUUAAAAUGGAAAAAGUAUUUUGAGAUAGCAUUUUCCUGGAAGUGGGGUCCAUUUGUGUCUGAUGAGC